rnacentral:rRNA from 1 species
GACGAACGCUGGCGGCGUGCCUAAUACAUGCAAGUUGAGCGCUGAAGGUUGGUACUUGUACCAACUGGAUGAGCAGCGAACGGGUGAGUAACGCGUGGGGAAUCUGCCUUUGAGCGGGGGACAACAUUUGGAAACGAAUGCUAAUACCGCAUAAAAACUUUAAACACAAGUUUUAAGUUUGAAAGAUGCAAUUGCAUCACUCAAAGAUGAUCCCGCGUUGUAUUAGCUAGUUGGUGAGGUAAAGGCUCACCAAGGCGAUGAUACAUAGCCGACCUGAGAGGGUGAUCGGCCACAUUGGGACUGAGACACGGCCCAAACUCCUACGGGAGGCAGCAGUAGGGAAUCUUCGGCAAUGGACGAAAGUCUGACCGAGCAACGCCGCGUGAGGGAAGAAGGUUUUCGGAUCGUAAAACUCUGUUGGUAGAGAAGAAAGUUGGUGAGAGUGGAAAGCUCAUCAAGUGACGGUAACUACCCAGAAAGGGACGGCUAACUACGUG